rnacentral:pre_miRNA from 1 species
CUUGUGUGUAUUGUGUAUCUUUGUUCAAUGGUUGAUCGUUCAUCUUAUUUUAAAUUUUUUUAUAAUUAAUAUUUUUAUUGUUAUUAGAUGAUAAAAUAUAAAUAGUAUUUUAUGUGUGAUUUAUUUUUUUUAUAAAUUUUUUGAUUAAGACGGACAAUCAAAUUAAUGUUGGCCGCAGAAACUCGAG